UUCCCCAAUGGACGAAAGUCUGAUGGAGCAACGCCGCGUGAGUGAAGAAGGGUUUCGGCUCGUAAAACUCUGUUGUUAAAGAAGAACAUAUCUGAGAGUAACUGUUCAGGUAUUGACGGUAUUUAACCAGAAAGCCACGGCUAACUACGUGCCAGCAGCCGCGGUAAUACGUAGGUGGCAAGCGUUGUCCGGAUUUAUUGGGCGUAAAGCGAGCGCAGGCGGUUUUUUAAGUCUGAUGUGAAAGCCUUCGGCUUAACCGAAGAAGUGCAUCGGAAACUGGGAAACUUGAGUGCAGAAGAGGACAGUGGAACUCCAUGUGUAGCGGUGAAAUGCGUAGAUAUAUGGAAGAACACCAGUGGCGAAGGCGGCUGUCUGGUCUGUAACUGACGCUGAGGCUCGAAAGUAUGGGUAGCAAACAGGAUUAGAUACCCUGGUAGUCCAUACCGUAAACGAUGAAUGCUAAGUGUUGGAGGGUUUCCGCCCUUCAGUGCUGCAGCUAACGCAUUAAGCAUUCCGCCUGGGGAGUACGGCCGCAAGGCUGAAACUCAAAGGAAUUGACGGGGGCCCGCACAAGCGGUGGAGCAUGUGGUUUAAUUCGAAGCUACGCGAAGAACCUUACCAGGUCUGGACAUACUAUGCCAAAUCUAAGAGAUUAGACGUUCC
rnacentral:rRNA from 2 species